rnacentral:rRNA from 1 species
UGGUAUUUUUUAUCAUGGCGGACGGGUGAGUAAUGCACAAGAAGUUGCCCUUAGAUAAGGAAAGAAUUCCUUUUAAAAGAGUUAUCUCGUCUUUGGAUUUGCUUGUGUAAGAUUAGGUAGUUGGUAGUGAAAGACUUACCAAGCCGUCGAUCUUUAGUUGGUUUGUAAGAACGGUCAACCACACUGGGACUGAGACAAGGCCCAGGCUUUUAAUAAGCCAGCAGUAGGGAAUAUUGGACAAUGAGCGAAAGCUUGAUCCAGCUAUGUUACGUGAGGGAUGACAGCUUAUUUGUUGUAAACCUCUUUUAUAAGGAAAGAUGAUGACUUGCUUUAUGAAUAAGUUCUGGCUAAUUUCGUGCCAGCAGCCGCGGUAACACGAAAAGAACAAGCGUUACUCGUUGUAAUUUGGUGUAAAGGGUUCGUAGGCGGUUUUAAGGUUGUUUAAGGUAAAAUUCAAGAGCUCCAACUUUUGAGCAAGGCCUUAAAAACACUAUUACUUGAGUUUAGCGUAAGAUUAUAGAAUUUCAAAUGUAGAGAUAAAAUUUUAAGAGAUUUGAAGGAAUGUCAAAAGCGAAGGCAAUAAUCUAUUCUAAUACUGACGCUGAGGGACGAAAGAACGGGUAGCAAACGGGAUUAGUGACCCCGGUAGUCCGUUCCGUAAACGCUGAGUGCUCGUACUUAGAUUUUAUAAUUUAGGUGCUACGCUAACGCUAUAAGCACUCCAC